rnacentral:RNase_P_RNA from 2 species
ACAGCAGGAAAGCCGCGAUGCUCACACCGUACAAGAGGCUUUCGAGCCUCUAUCUCCGUGAGCGGGCUAAGGUCUGAGUAUUCCAGUCCCCGGGAACGACUCUUACAGAGUCCAAUCUCAAUGGAUCGUGCGACAUACCAGAAACUCCAGUCUGUGUCUCAUAGGUCCCGAAGAGCUCGACGCGGCUCAAGGACGUGCGCUAGGGCUUGAGACGACCGACUUGAAAGGUGUCGUGGGACUGGGCGAACGCAGUAAUGUGUCAGUCACCGCACGCCCUCUUUCGUCACCUUUGUGCUUGGGUAAUCCCGAGCGCAUGGGAUGUUUCACGAACUUACGCGUCGGUGUUGACCGACGAGUAAUGUGAGUAAUAUCCCCUGCUUUGCUCUGACUCGCGUUUGGGUAUUGCAGAAAGAGGCUACGAGGAGGGCUGAUGUGUUGGGGUCUUGAUGCGCCGCGUUCGUCCUUCAGUGCACUUCGCGGCUCGCAUGAUGGGGUGACUGUCGGAGAUGCCCUGUUCAUGCGAAACUCGAUUCAGACUACUCUCGUGCUGU